GAAAAGUCUUUCAAAAAAUAUUAUCUCGUUAUAUGAAAAAGACAAAGCCUAAAUUGAUGCAGGCCCAGAUGAAGAAACCGAAGAAAAUUGCGCCUUCACUGCAAUAUCAUCUGGUGAUGCGCAAUGUUUACGAGAUCAUGCUGGCAAUUUAGGGAGAAGGAUUGCUUGAAACAACAGUACUGCAACCAAGCUGUGAAGAAUCGUGAGGAUCAACUAUCAGUGAAAAAAGAUUACUGAAGAUAAUGAUAAGAUUAGUCAGCUUCCUGACAACAUUCUUGCUGCCAUCUUAACCUCUCCCAAAAUAAGAGAAGCAGUACAGACUGGUGUACUCUCAACUAGAUGGAGGUAUGUAUGGACUGCUGCCCUUUAAAAUCCAGAACUUGAUGUGGAUAGCCUUUUGGAAAGAAAAUAUUCUGAUUUUGAUAAACGUUACAAUAACAUGCUGCAAAUUCAGUUAUCUCAUUCAAGAGAAUGCAAGCCUUUCUAGUUCUGUCAACUGGCUCUUUUUGUAUCUUAAUUAUUCUGACCACAAGAUUGAGAAGUUGAAUGUCUACUUCACUUUUUGCCGUGGUGAGUAGUGGAGUCAACUUGUUCAUUGGAUCAAUUUUGCAAUUUCAAGAGGUGAGUUGAGGAAGUGAACCUUUGCUUGUUAAAAGAUAAUUAUUUUGGUGCAACAGAUGACAGUUAUGCAUAUGGUUUUCCUUGAAGCUUGCUUAAAUUUUAUGGCACUAAAUCAUCUCUUAAGUGCCUGCAACCGGCAUACUGCAGUUGUGCUGCACAGCUUUUGAUUUCCAAUGUUUUAAGACUCGCAGUACCCUUGAUCUGAAGUGGGUGGUCAGGUAGAUUUGAAAUCCGAGAAUCAUAUACUGAGCUUGUUAUCAAAUUGUUCUCCUCCUCCAGUGGCUGAGCUUUUAUGAAUACUAUAAUAUAAGCUGUUUAAAGAUCAAACAUCCAUCAUGUAAGCAGUUGAAGUACUUGAAUGUUUAUGGUUGCUCUCUGAUUUGGAGGCACUGGCAAUUGAUGGCAUCGAGACAUUUGAAUACAAGGCCUUUGUGAUUAUCUUCUUGGUCAGAAAAGUCCAAAAAAUAAAAAUUCUAUGCAGUCAUGUUGUCCAUAGGAAACUCGGAGACAACGUGGUCUGGCCACUGUCCAGGUUUUCAGUUGAGCUUCCCCAGUUUGAGACUUUGUUGCUGAGCUGCAGCUGUUACUUGGAGUGAUCAUGUUGGAGAGAUAGCCCAUACAUCAUCAUUUCAAAUAUUUAUUAAUCUUAGAGGUUUCAACUUACGAACGAGCUCCUGUGAAUUGCAGCUGUGCUUCAGGCAUCUCCGGUUGUGGAAAGAUUAAAUUUGCAUGUAAGUUUUUCCUUCUGCCAUUUCAUGUUAUGGUAACAUAAAGAAACAGAGGAAAAAGGGGGACAAAAAAAGAAGAAAACAUCAGUUUCAAUAAUCUGUUGGUAGAUUUUAUUUUUGGCUUUCAUAUGAUGCUUACUUUAUCAUCAAUUGUUGGCCAGGACACCAUGCAAAUUGUACUAUCAUUAAGAAAAAUUCUUGAUUUCAUGUAUUUAUAAGGUCAUGAAAUAUACAUCCACGAGUGACGGAAGAUCGAAUUUCAUAUUUGUUCUGUUACUUCGCUUACAAUUUAAGCGUGUUAGACUUUCUGCAUCUUAGAUAAGUGUAAGCGAAACAUCGAUACAAGUCUAAAGUGAUACUCUUCCGGUUAUUUCCAAAGAUUUUCAUUCAGUUAAUGAACAAGAUAGAUACUUUGGAUCCUAGAUUACAUUUUUGACAGCAUGAAUGAUUAGCUAUAAAUAUUGAAAAUGCUCUUAGCUACAUCGUCUGAGAUUGCAGCAAAGUUUAUGUUGUGAGGAACCAUAAUUUUUUUAUGAUUCUGUGUCACGCAGCAUCACUUGAUGUUGAUAGGAAAAAAAAUGUAUCAUAUGUUUCGAAAAGGUUUCCUUACUUCUUACUAAACGAGGGCCAUUUGUGUUUCGUCCACUUAUGAAGAGCCUUCUUUUGCAUUGGUGAUUCAUUGAGAAUUUUUCUCUUGGAGAGUUUUUUCUCUCUCUUAUAUUGUUGGUUCUAGACUUCUCUUCGCUUUGCAAAAGCUUUUACCCAAGGAAGGGGAUAAUAUUUUAUGCUUGGUUCUACAAAAAAGUUAUAUGCACUACAAUGUAGUGUUGUUGAUAUGUAUGUCAGCUAAAUACCUAUAACUAUGUGGAAGAACCACGAGAAAUACUUCAAACUCCUAGGUGCUCCAGUGAUCACCUCAAAGAAGUUAUCAUAACCGGUACACUGGUCAUUUCGGCGAGAUUGAGAUUGUAAUUUAUCUUGUAAACAAUGCCGUUUCACUUGAUGAGAUGACAAUUGAUCCACACCGACAAUUCUAAGAGGGGAAUAGAAAAUGGACUUGUCUAGAAGCUUGUGCCAGGUGGUCUAUGAUUUGAAGGCAGAGCUUUUUUGAGCAUCUUGUUGUCGUAGCUGGUGCUUCUGUCAAACUUUUGAUCUUAUAAAAGUUUGUGUUGCCACCUGAAAUUUCAAUUACAAGUGAAAUGAGGGCAUGCAGUCUUUCAAGAUGUACAAUACCGGUUUUGCCACUUCAGAAUAGAAAGUUAUUUAUCUUAACUUUCACAUCCUAAACUGAUUUAAGGCCUAAUCCAAUGAAAUGUGGAGCAUGAAAUGUAAUAAACGGAUCCUAUUUGUCUUGCUAGCUACCUACACUGUCAGAUGCCACCCAGAGUUCCCCCAAACACUUCAGUAGGGUGUCAAACACUCUCAAAAGAUUCCCACAGAAGUGGUUAAGGGAACUCCAGGGAACAGCUGACGCUUUCUUUCUCUUUCCUCAAUUUCUUGGUUACUCGAUGCAACUCAAAGCUCUAUUUAUAGUGUAGUUUCAUGAUUCAUUCACCGAAUUCAAGGUGGACUUGGUGUUAAAGCACAAUAGUUGAUUAGAGAUUCCAAGAGUAUGUUGAACCUGGACAGAGUUGUGGAUCAAAUGAACGUUGAUAGUGAUACUAAGGCAAGUGGUCUCAAGUCUUUGCCAGCUUUCCAAGGGGAAAACAAUGGCAGCACAGACAAGAUUCUUGUUUGGAGUAGCUUGAUAAAAGAAAAGUGGAAUGAAACUCAACUAUUCAACGUAAACAUUAAAGGUAGUCGCAUACAACCUCUCAUCAGUUUUCUAGUACUCUCUAUCUUUCAUGUGGCAUGUAAUCCUGUCUAGGUUCAGUUCCUACCACUUGUACUCUUAUAUUCUCUCAUAUUGAGCAACGCUGCUUACUAAAAGAUGCAACUUUAGGAAAAGAGGAAUUUACCACACAGAAUAGGAUUAUCCAUCUAAUUUGUUGGGAUUCCAGUUAUCAUUUGAUUCUACUGACAAUUGCAAUCUUGAUGACUGGAUUACUUCUUCUUUCUAAUCAUCUUUUUCUUCUCAUCUUCUUCACUUACCAUGUAUCGUAUUGUAUUGUUUGACCCUAUUGUAGUACUUACGUAGGAAAUCAACAAAAAAUUUUGCAGGAUAGUUUCUGGUUUGUUCUGCCAUCCUGCCAAAAUCAUUCUGGCAGUCACAGAUUUCUUGGCUCCAAUCAUGUCUCAAUUAACAUUUGAUGCUUAUAUUUAAAUUUUAAAUGAAAUCUCUAAUGAGAUUGUUCUCAAGUCGAUGAUCCUAAUAUUUUACUUAUUGAGAUUAUUCUCCUAUUCAUAAGCUGGUCUGAUUGUUUGCUGAUAGAAGAGUGGAUGAUUGAUAUGCGCAUUUACGUAGGACAAACAAAUAGAAGAGUGCUCAUUACAUUCAGCGAUAAAAAAUUUAUAUUGUCAAUCUCAUUUUAAGAAUUUUAAUAACUUCUAGGAUGCCUUUUUAACUGCCUUCCAACAUGAAGACAAGUUAGUCUACUCCUAAUCAGCAAUAUCAUAAUCUCAUCGAAACCCCCUGACAUAGAGCUUCCAUCCGUAUUGUUUUCUUUGCUAUCUGCACCAGCACCAUUAACCAUAAAUUUUGCUGUAUCUGAGACUUUUUCAUUGAGAAUGUCACGGAGGAUCAAUUAUCGAAGCAAAACAGGAUUGCAGAAGAUGAUGAUUGGAUUAGCCAGCUUCCUGAAAACUUAAUCUAAACCAUCUUAACCUCUCCCAAAAUAUGAGAAGCAGUGCAGACUAGUGUAACUCUCAACUGGAUGGAGGUAUGUUUAGACUGCUUCUGUUUCAAGCCUUGAACUUGAUGGGAAUACCCUCUUGGAAGGAAAAAAAAAGACCAGUCUGAUUUUGACUAACAUUGCAAAUCUAAGUGGGAAAUCCAGUUAAUCUUAACUAAGAGAAUGCAAGCUUUUUUGAAUUCUCUCAAUCAUCUCCUUUUAUAUCUAAAUAACUUAGACCAUAAAAUUAAGAAGUUUAAGGUUUCCUUCAGUUUUUUUGUCCCGGCGACGGCAGCGAGUAUCACAGUCAUCUUGAUCUUACGUGGGUCAAUUUGAAAUCCGAUAAUCAUGAGCAGAACUUUUAUCUAACUGUUGUAUUCUUCGAUGGUUGAGCUUUUAUGAAUGCUCAAAUAUAGGCCAUUUGAAGGUCAAUAAUCGAUCCUGUUAACCGUUGAAGUACUUGAAUGGCUAUGGUUGUCCUGAAUUGGAGGCAUUAGAAAUUGGUAGCAUUGACAUUGAGACAUUUGAAUACAAGGGAAUUGUUAUGAACUUAUUGUUCAGUGAGUCUCACAACUAAAAAGUCUAUUCAUUCACGUUGUUCAUUGGAAACACGGAGAGGGUGUGGUUUCCUGCUGAGCAUCCGUAGCUUGAGACUUUGUUGCUAAGCUGCAGCUGGUACAUGGAGGCUGGGGUCGUGCUGGAGAGGUUACCCAUAUUUCAUCAUCGCAAACCAUUAUCAAUUUUGGAGAUAGCCAUAUGUUGAUGCGAGGUUCUGCAGAUAGCAACGGUGUUUAAAACAUCUCUAUUUUUCUCAAAAAUUAGAUUUGCAUGUAAGCUUUUCCUCUUCCUAUUUCAUACUGUGGUAACAUUAAGGGACACAGAAAAAAUUCAACUGUUCUUUCAUAUUGAUUAACUCUGAUACUUCGCAUCCUAAAUUCAUGAGUAAAAUAGAUUCUGCUACCGCAGCAAAAGCUUGCGUAAUGUGAAGAACUAAAAAUUUGUGAUGAUACCUUGAUGCGCAGCGUUGCCUGAUGUUGAUAGGCAAGAAUGUAUCAAAAGUUUUCUCGAGCUUUUAGCCUAAAGUUAUUAUGUUGCAGAUUCUAGCUUUGCUUUUUCUUGCCUUGCACGAGCUCUUAUGCUAGGACAAGUCUAAUAGUUUCUGUUUGUUGCUGCAAAAACGGAUAGACUGCACUGCAAGUGUUGUUGAUCACUUGAUAUGUGAAGGAAGAACCACAAGAAAUACUCCGGUCACCCGGGUGCCCCAAUGAUCCCUCAAAGAAGUUGUGAUAACUGGAAGAUGGGGUCGUAUCAGUGAGAUUGGGAUCGCAAUUAUCUGCUCAACAAUGCAGUGGCACUUGACAAGGAUGACAAUUGUUCCACAUCCAAGAUACUAUGAGGGAAAUGGAAACUGGAGUGUUUUAGAACCUUGUGGCAGAUGGUCUACAAUUGAAAGGCAGAGAGUCCUCGAGCAUCUUAUUGUAGAAGGCUAGAAGCUGUUCCUACAGCCCAAUUGUUUAGAGGUUUAACCUUCCGAAGGAAUUUGCAGUUACAAGUGUAAUAAGGGUACUUAAUGAUGUAAAAGAGGCGAGACAAAAUUAAGUGCUUAAUUGCUAGUAUAAGCCAAGAUUUUGAGUCGUCUUUGCUUAUACAAGAACUCAUUGAUGCCUAUUUUCAUGACAAGAAAAGUAAAGUAUGAAAGGGAAAGGUUGGACAGAGAGAGAACAAAGUUAAAAAAAAAAAGGCAGAAUGGAAUAUAACCAGUGAGUUACUAUUACUAGAAAUCUCAAUCUAGCACAUAGUUGAGUGUAGGUUCAUGUCCAAUUGCCUUAUCCAGUGAACCUUUUUGGGGCACUGAUAUGAAGUAGCAGCCAACAGGGAUAUCAUAAGUAGGGUAGGACUUGAAAUUAAGCAACCAAAGAAGUAGGCUGCAGAGACUAUAGUGUAGUGGUGCAUAUCAGGUGGCCCCUAGAGUUCCCUUGAACACUUCAACAGGAACACAGUUCCUGCUGAAGUGUUCAAGGGAACUGCGGGUGUCAUUUGAUACUUAUUGUCUAGUGAAGUGAUGCAUACAUAUGUAUAUAUAUC